rnacentral:piRNA from 1 species
UGCCUUCCAAAUGACUCCGAAACUGGAC